AGAGUUUGAUCAUGGCUCAGAACGAACGCUGGCGGCAUGCCUAACACAUGCAAGUCGAACGGGAUCCAUCCUUCGGGAUGGUGAGAGUGGCGGACGGGUGAGUAACGCGUGGGAACCUGCCCAGUGGUGGGGGAUAACUGCGGGAAACUGCAGCUAAUACCGCAUGAGCCCGAGAGGGGAAAGAUUUAUCGCCAUUGGAGGGGCCCGCGUUCGAUUAGGUAGUUGGUGAGGUAACGGCUCACCAAGCCGACGAUCGAUAGCUGGUCUGAGAGGAUGAUCAGCCACACUGGGACUGAGAUACGGCCCAGACUCCUACGGGAGGCAGCAGUGGGGAAUAUUGGACAAUGGGGGCAACCCUGAUCCAGCAAUGCCGCGUGAGUGAUGAAGGCCUUCGGGUUGUAAAGCUCUUUUGCCAGGGACGAUGAUGACGGUACCUGGAGAAUAAGCCCCGGCUAACUUCGUGCCAGCAGCCGCGGUAAUACGAAGGGGGCAAGCGUUGUUCGGAAUUACUGGGCGUAAAGGGCGCGUAGGCGGCUUAUCAAGUCAGGCGUGAAAUUCCCGGGCUCAACCUGGGGGCUGCGCUUGAUACUGAUGAGCUUGAAUGCGGGAGAGGAUAGUGGAAUUCCCAGUGUAGAGGUGAAAUUCGUAGAUAUUGGGAAGAACACCGGUGGCGAAGGCGGCUAUCUGGCCCGUGAUUGAC
rnacentral:rRNA from 1 species